GAUAUACUCCCUCUGUCCCAAAAAUUUUAUCUUAGAUUUGUCUAAAUACAAAUAUAUCAAGUCAUGUUUUAGUAUUAGAUACAUCCGUAUCUAGACAAGAUACAUCCGUAUUUAGACAAAUCUAAGACAAGAAUUUUGGGACGGAGGGAGUACAUU
rfam:Triticum aestivum genome assembly, contig: Triticum_aestivum_CS42_TGACv1_scaffold_094577_2AL